AAAUAAAAUUUCCAACUGGAGAAUCUCCUCUUUUGUUGCUUUUUUGUAUGUUCUUGGCGAUGAUAAAAGGACUCUUUCGUUGCUUUUGGUUAAUUAUUAUAAAUUAAGGUGUCCUUGGCCCCCCAAAGCUCAAGAGCAAGCCUAUAUAUUUCUCUCCUCCCCUUCUUGUCUUCUCAUCCAGAAGGAAAAGAAAAAUGGCCCAAAACGAUUUACGCUCGGAGUUCCUCGCCGUUGCAGUCGAUGCAGCCAAGAAGGCCGGAGACAUCAUCCGUAAAAGCUUCUACCAAACUAAGCAUGUGGAAUACAAGGGCCAGGUGGAUUUGGUCACAGAAACCGACAAAGCAUGUGAAGAUCUCAUAUUCAAUCAUAUCAGGCAGCAUUUCCCUAGCCAUAAGUUCAUUGGGGAAGAAACCACUGCAGCUUGUGGCUUUAUGGAGUUGACUGCUGAACCAACAUGGAUAGUUGAUCCUGUUGAUGGUACAACUAACUUUGUCCAUGGGUUCCCCUUUGUGUGUGUUUCUAUUGGUUUAACAAUAGAAAAGGUCCCCAUAGUUGGUGUUGUCUACAAUCCUAUCAUGGAUGAGCUUUUCACUGCUAUUGAUGGAAAAGGUGCUUUUCUGAAUGGAAAACCAAUAAAAGUGUCUUCUCAGUCUGAACUUGUGAAAUCUCUCCUUGGCACUGAGGGUGGAACAAAUCGAGAUCAGUCAACUCGAGACGCCUUUACAAAAAGAAUUAAUUAUUUACUUUCAAAGGUCAGAUCACUCCGGUGGUGUGGCUCUUCUGCUCUGGACCUCUGUGGCAUUGCAUGCGGAAGGCUUGACCUAUUCUAUCAAUUUGGAUUCGGUGGUCCUUGGGAUGUUGCAGCUGGUGCUGUGAUUGUCAAAGAAGCCGGAGGAGUUCUGUUUGAUCCGUAAGGAACAAAGCAACUGUAAACUCUUCAGUUUCUGCUUCUCUUAUGCCCUCUUGUUCUGGCAAGGAAUUUGACAUCACAUCUCUAAGAAUAGCAGCAUCAAAUGAAGUUCUCAAGGAUUUACUUGUGGAGGCACUCAAAGAAUGUGCAGAAUGAAAGCCCAAUGGUAAUGGCAGUUGAAAGCUUCACUUGAGCAGUUUAGUUACUUUGGAAAUGAGGAUGCUAGGCAAUUAUUUCUAGUUAUUGUUUGUGGGUCUCUCAAGCAGUGCCCAGAUUGUUUGCGACAUUGAAUUGAUCUGACUGACAAGUGGGUAUUUUCUAUAACAUUAUAAAUUUGUGGUUA